ACUCCUACGGGAGGCAGCAGUGGGGAAUAUUGCACAAUGGGCGCAAGCCUGAUGCAGCCAUGCCGCGUGUAUGAAGAAGGCCUUCGGGUUGUAAAGUACUUUCAGCAGUGAGGAAGGUGGAGUCGUUAAUAGCGGCCUCAUUUGACGUUAGCUGCAGAAGAAGCACCGGCUAACUCCGUGCCAGCAGCCGCGGUAAUACGGAGGGUGCGAGCGUUAAUCGGAAUUACUGGGCGUAAAGCGCAUGCAGGUGGUUUGUUAAGUCAGAUGUGAAAGCCCGGGGCUCAACCUCGGAAUUGCAUUUGAAACUGGCAGACUAGAGUACUGUAGAGGGGGGUAGAAUUUCAGGUGUAGCGGUGAAAUGCGUAGAGAUCUGAAGGAAUACCGGUGGCGAAGGCGGCCCCCUGGACAGAUACCUGACACUCAGAUGCGAAAGCGUGGGGAGCGAAACAGGAUUAGAUACCCUGGUAGGAUAGCG
rnacentral:rRNA from 1 species